ensembl:lncRNA novel transcript
GGUCUAAUUUUCAUACACAGUGGAUUUGCCAUGGAAACACCGAGUAUGUGCACAAGAGUCCUGUUGGAUCUGGAAAAGUGAGGAACUUUGAAAAUGCAUCACACUGCCUGCGUACUGAUGCUGCCCCAAAUUCUAUAUCCCCCUGGAAUCAGCAUGGCUGCAGGAACAUCUUCUCUCUGCCGGUCAAGGACACUCCUCAGCAGAGUGGCCCUUUCCGAAGCUGAAACAACUUCUGCCUCUACUUGCAUGGCUUCCCAAAGGCUGGAUCCUUGUGGGAAUGCAUUUCAAAAGGGAAGAAUCAACUGAUUUCGGGGCAUGCAAUCAAGACCCUAGGUAUCAGUAUGAAGGAGUUCUUCAUAUAAUCUGGAUAUGAGCCUCAGUUAGGUAUAUGUAUAGUAAAGAGUUUCUCCCA